AUACGGAGGGUGCAAGCGUUGUUCGGAAUUACUGGGCGUAAAGCGCGCGUGGGCGGUCUGUUAUGUCAGAUGUGAAAGUCCUCGGCUCAACCGGGGAAGUGCAUUUGAAACUGGCAGACUUGAGUACUGGAGGGGGUGGUGGAAUUCCUGGUGUAGAGGUGAAAUUCGUAGAUAUCGGGAGGAAUACCGGUGGCGAAGGCGACCACCUGGCCAGAUACUGACGCUGAGGUGCGAAAGCGUGGGGAGCAAACAGGAUUAGAAACCCUAGUAGUCC
rnacentral:rRNA from 1 species